rnacentral:lncRNA from 10 species
UGGCUCCUUUCUCCCUUCAGGGGCUCCUGUGAUUCCACAUAGACAGGCGUAUGUGGUGGUGGCACUUGGAGGCCACUGAGGAAGGUGCAUGCAGGAUCUGUAUGCUGCCCUGUAAGCCCAGGACAGGACUGAGGGAGUCUAAACCAGUGACUUUCAAAUCCACCUGGUCAUCAGAACUGCCUGGGGAACUUUUUUAAAAAUAUACAAGCCUGGGCCCAACCUCAGACGUGCUGAAAGCAACAAGGGAAGCCCCUGGGGUCUGUAUUUGUAGCAAACUCUCUGGGAAUUGAAGCUACUGACCCUCUGAGAGCCAUUUGGAGAAUGCCUCACGCCCAAAUCUCUUCUGCCCCAACCACUCCAUAAGUGUUUCUCUGGCUGCUAAGAAGAACUGGACCUCUGGAGAAUGUGCCCAGUCCAAGGACUUCCUGUCCCACACGGCUUAGGCACAGAGCAGGAAGGAAGGUGCUUAAGAGCGGGGCUUCUUUGUGGCCGACGGCAAUCAUUACCCACUCCCGGAGCUGGACCAGGCCCUUCAGGGCUGCGUAAGUGCUACCUGGAGUGGGUCUGGAUAAAUCUGGAUUUUUAAGACGAUUAAAGUGCUCCACUAAAGACUGAAGUGAGAGAGGAUGUCUUGGAAUGGACUCUGGUGCCUGGUCCUUCAACCAUCCCCUGCCUGGACCUUCAGUGCAAGGACAAGGAUGGAGGGGUGGGGUGGGUGGAGGGACUAAAACUCUGUCUCAUUCAUCACUGUAUUUCCCAAGUGUUUAGUCCUAACUGUAGCACCUUCAUUCAUUCAUCCAUGCAUUCAUUUACUGAAUAAACUGUAUGUCCUAGGUACUGGAAAAGAAAUAGGAAACAGCCAUCUAGAGGGAGCAGAGACUGAUAGGUAAAUGGAAAAUUACAAACAGAGACAGGUGGGGGACAUAAAGGACGCCUAGGGACAUGCCAGGCAAUGUUGGAGCACUAAGGAUGCUUUUUAACUCAGGGCGAGGAGUCAGCAGAAGCAAGGAGGAGGAGUGCAGUUUGCCCACCUGCGGACUAUGGAUCCCCUGGCCACUGCGGCCGCCCACACCCCUUCAAACCUGGAUGAACUGCUCAGACUUCUGGAUUAGCCAGAUGGAUGGGGACUCCGACGCCCCCUCAACAUUGGGGAGUUUCCUGUCCAAGAUGUGAACGCGAGAGGGCUGUGUGUUCUGACAUGGGGUCGUGCCUAGGAGCUGUGCAACGCCAGCCCUUGAGGAGGAAGCCAUCUGUUUCUGGAAUCACCCUCCCCGCCACGUAUAUGAGACAUAUCCUUGAUUGUCCGUGAAAUCAGGUGGUCCAGGGCCAGGUUGGUCCAUAGAGGUAGGUGUAAGACAUCCUCUGCUCCUGCCCAAGGGUCUCCUCGUAUCUGGAAGCUCUUUCUGCUGCUUGGUUUGGUACCUAUCAUGGGAGUUUUCGUGAUCCUUGCACACCACCAUCCCUCUCUGGAGUCUCACUGCCCUCCCAGGGACCCUGAGCAAGACGCAGGGCUGUCUCGGAUUUACAGAGGGGAGCAACAGGAAGACAGCCAUCUGCAAACCAGCAAGCUGACUUUCAGCAGAUGCUGCUUCUCCUGGCACCUUGAUCUUGGACUUCCUGGCCUCUAGAACUAUGAGAAAGAAAUGUUUAAGAUUUCCAGUCUGCAAACCAGCAAAUGGGCCCUCACCAGACACUGCCUGUCCUGGCACCUUGAUCUUGGACUUCUCAGCCUCCAGAAAUGUGAGAAAGAAAUGUUUUAAGUUUCCCAGUCUAUGAGAAUUUGUUAGAACAGAACAAACUGACUAAGACACUCACUAACAUGGUAUAUUACCAAUCUCUUAAAUUUUGCCAGUCUGAUAGGUGAAGUUACUCAUCUUUAUACAGCCAUUUCUUCUUCUGUGAGUCUCCUGUUCAUGUUUCAUGCGCAUUUUAAACAUCAAGUUGCUUUGCAUUUUUAUUGAUUUAUAGAAGGUCUUUAUGUAUUCUGGAAAGUAAUCCUGUAUUUUUCAUGCUUACUGCUACUCAUCCUAAUACUUUUGAGUGGAUUGGUUGGACCCUCAUUGGAUGCAGCAAGGGACAGGAAGGCAACUCAGGCAGCAAUCCAUGGCAGGCUGACCAAUAGCCAGUCACACAGGCAGAUUCACCAAGUCAGCAGAAGAAUUAGCUUUCCCUCCUUCUAGGCUUGGGAUUCUCUAACAGCAGAGAUGGCACUAAACAGGAGAUGUGGGCAAUAUUUGGUCUGUUUACCCUGUGACUACAUCAUUGGCAGAUAGAUACAACAGACCUGCAGUCCCCAAGAAUGUUUUGAAUUUUUUUUUUUUUUGAGACAGGGUCCUGCUCUGUUGCCCAGGCUGGAGUGCAGUGGUAUGAUCACGGCUCAUGCAGCCUCGACCUCCCAGGCCCAAGCAAUCCUCCCACCUCAGCCUCCUGGGUAGCUGGGACUGCAGGUGUGCACCACCACACCUGGCUAAGUUUCGUAUUUUUUUUUUUUGAG